AUGAAACACUCCUACGGGAGGCAGCAGUGGGGAAUUUUGGACAAUGGGCGCAAGCCUGAUCCAGCAAUGCCGCGUGCAGGAUGAAGGCCUUCGGGUUGUAAACUGCUUUUGUACGGAACGAAACGGCCCUUUCUAAUAAAGAGGGCUAAUGACGGUACCGUAAGAAUAAGCACCGGCUAACUACGUGCCAGCAGCCGCGGUAAUACGUAGGGUGCGAGCGUUAAUCGGAAUUACUGGGCGUAAAGCGUGCGCAGGCGGUUAUGUAAGACAGAUGUGAAAUCCCCGGGCUCAACCUGGGACCUGCAUUUGUGGCUGCAUAGCUAGAGUACGGUAGAGGGGGAUGGAAUUCCGCGUGUAGCAGUGAAAUGCGUAGAUAUGCGGAGGAACACCGAUGGCGAAGGCAAUCCCCUGGACCUGUACUGACGCUCAUGCACGAAAGCGUGGGGAGCAAACAGGAUUAGAUACCCCUGUAGUCCGAAGUUC
rnacentral:rRNA from 1 species